ensembl:lncRNA
UACUUUUUUUUUUUUUUUUUUUUCUUUUGUCUUUUUUGUUGUUGUUUUGUUGUUGUUGCUAUUUCUUGGGCCGCUCCCGCGGCAUAUGGAGGUUCCCAGGCUAGGGGUUGAAUUGGAGCUGUAGCCACCGGCCUACGCCAAAGCCACAGCAACUCAGGAUCCGAGCCGCGUCUGCAACCUACACCACAGUUCACGGCAACGCCAGAUCGUUAACCCACUGAGCAAGGGCAGGGACCAAACCCGCAACCUCAUGGUUCCUAGUCGGAUUCGUUAACCACUGCGCCACGACGGGAACUCCUAAAAUAUUACUAUUAAUAAAACACUUUGUAGCUUAAAGGCAUCUGUGCACAAUGUUUAUUUCAAACUCAAAAUAAUCCUGUGAGGUAGAUAAGACAGACAUUACUACCGACUUUUUCUAGAUGAGAAAACUGAGGGUGAAGACAUCUGAAUUCUACCAAGGUAACAAGUAAGCACAGGAGCCACCAUACUCAUCAAGACGAGAUAUCCUAAUUACAAAUACUAGGCUCUAGGAAAACUUUCAAGAGUGCUGUCUAAGCUAAAAUAACCAGAGAGGACUUAGAAUAAUACAUUAUUUGCCUCCCAGAUGCAAAAUAAUUAUUGCUAAAGGUAGACAAAUGUUAAAGGGGGAGUCGUCCAUCAAAGUUAAUAAUGCUGGAGGCUGCAGAGCAAGCAUAAAUACACUACUUACACUGAUUUAUCAACUGUAAAUAAAUGAAGGGAAACAAAUUACUGACACCCGAAUUUCAAAGACAGCUACAAAUUGGAGAAAAAAACCUCAAAACCAAGAGCACCAGAGAAUAAUCCUACAGACUGCACAAGGCAGGCACUAUACACAUUUUACAAACAGAAAACUCAGGAAUUCGAUUAACUGCUCACUGGCACAAAUAAGAAUUACUGGUAGGUAUCCUCUUUCCACACUGUCGUACAAGGAACAGGUGACACUGGAAUGCUUGGGAAAUCUGACCACCAUAUUGCUUCCUGGGUGGGACAAAAGCCCCUGGCAAAAGGGUAUGCCUGUCAUCUAUGCCUGGAUCUCUGCGCAUAUGAUUGAACCAGGCUGGUACCUGAAAGUAGAAAUAAAUUCAGAUUCAUCAAUGAUUAAAUUCUCCUGGUAAAAGACAUCUCCUCAGACUGAGUUUUUAAAAAGCAGAACAAUGAGCUGUAUACAAAUCAGGCUUAAAAAGAGAGGUGACAUAAUAGGGCUAAAAGAAUGAGGGUUGACUGGUUAACUUCUGCGGGCAGGUGAUUCAGGUGAGCUGGGAAAGCUGAAGAGGGAGGAGCACCCCUUCCACCCGCAGCUCCACUGGAAGGUGCAUCUCUCCCAAACUCCAGCACAAACGCUCAAGGAGCAGCCACAAGAAUACCAUGCAGUACAGUCUUUUACAACGCAAGAGAAUACAAUGAAAACUAAACCAAUCAGGCAAUGAAUAUCAACAAAAUAAAGCAAAACAUAUUAACACAGAUAAAACCCUCAACAAAAAAAGCUUCAGAGCAAGUACAGUAAUACUUCAGUAAUGUGAAAUUGAAAAAAAUACAUAAACUACCAUGCACUGUUUACAGAUACAUACAUACAUAGUAAUCAUUUGGAAACUUUCACAGUAAUAAUAAACACCAAAUUCAGGAGACUGGUUACCUCUAGGGACAAAGAGAGAUGAGGAGUAUACAAUGGGCUUCAAUUCUAUCUGUAGUGUUUGUUUUCUAAACAAAACAAAACAAACAAAAAAAGCCUGAUUCCAAAGGAAAAAAGGAGAGUUGAAAAAGUAUAUACUAGGCAAAUAUGAACAAAAAUUCAGCAGUUGAUAUCAAAUACUUGAGUACCAAAAAUUACACUCCCAAAUACUCAACAUGUAAAAAGUGGAAGGGGACUUAAAUAGCUAAGGAAUGAUUAACUCUUCAGCUAGACCUAAAGCCUAUAUACACCCAGCAAGUCAGCCCUCAAAUUUACUGGGGGUGGGAAAGGCGAUCAAUCUGACAAAAUUACAAAAAACCAAAAAGCCCAACCAACCAACCAAAACCACCCAACCGUCCUAAUAGAUGAUAUUUACAUCUCACCCCCAAACUCAAAAGGCUAGUAGGAAUAGAGAAGACAUGGCCCAUGGAAAUAGCAAGACUGAUCUAAAUGGACAUGUAGGGGACCCUGAACCCACCACACACAUAAUCAUACACUUUUCAAGCACACAUGGAACAUGUAUAAAGAGUGACCAAGUACUCAGCCACAGAAUUAGUCUCAAAUAACUUAAGAAUCAACACAGUCUAUAUACUCUCUUAUUUAUAUGAAAUAAAGCCAGAAACUAAUAAUAAAAAGAAUGUUUUAAAAAAAAGAGAGAAAGAAAACACGUUUAAAACAAAAAACACACAUUCCUAAUUAUCUUCAGAGUCAAAAGAGAGCCAUGUGAGGAAAACAAAGACUUCAGAGUGUCUACUUCCCCAAGACUUGUUUACAAAGUUUUUCUUGGAUUCCUGAACACUCCUUAAAUUCUCAUGAAAACCUCUCUUCUUCAGCUAGUUUGAAUAAGCUUAUCCUCCUCGUAAUCAAAUGGGUCCUUCGUAACACAAAACACAAAACCGUAGUCUUUCUCAGUUAGUGGAAUUGGAUAGUCAUGUAGACUACUUAAGUAAUAAAGCUGAUAAAAAUAAAGAUAUCUGGAAUAAAAUGAAUCUUGCUAACCAAUACUCAAUCUUGUUAAAACAGUGUUGAUAAAGGAACCUCCCAUAAAACACUGAGUUGCAAAUGAAUAUGUUAAGUACAAAAACCACCACCACCUAGGCUAGGAAAGCAACAAUUAGAGUCCAGGAUGGCAGACCCUUCAAAGUAUCAGCUGGCCACAAAUGAGCAAGCUAAUAAGCAGGUUAGUGAAAUAAAAUCAAUAUAUCCAGGACACAUGAUGAGCAAAAGAAAUUAUUUUUGCUAUGAACAGCAUUACUCAAACACUGUACAGCAGUGGUCAAAUGUGAGUUCGUUUUUUCAAAUGCAUAUGGGGAAAUUAUAAAAACAUUCAAAGAAGCAGGAUAAAAAGGAGGGUGAAAUACUAACCAUUUCUUAAGUGUUACACACUUGACCUCAUUUAUUCAUUUCAUUUUAUAGAUGAGGACACACCAAGACUCAGAGACCAAAGAGGUUGCCUAAGCUCGCAGAGAGGGUGAGGAGCAGAGAACAGAUGUCAUCCUUAUGUGACACAGAAGCGUUCUGUCCUGGUUUGCAGAGUGGAGGUGGCAUCUGUUCAGUAAAGGAAACUGAGGGAGUGUACUCCCACAUCCACUCAACAGCCUCAGCACUUGGUAAGCCACAGAGAGAGGUGUGAUGUGAAACUUGUGGGAAUCAAGCAAUGUAAGCAUACGGAGGCGAGUGGGAGCGUGGACUCUGGAGUCAGAAAGACCUGGCUUCAAAUUCCAGCUUGGUCAGUUAUUGGUGUGAUGGGACACCUGCACAAGGAGCCUUCCUUGUGGCUAUUACUGUUCAGAUUCAAUGAGUUACACCGUCAGAAAAGGCCCUAUAUGUAUAAACAUACUACUCGUACAUUUACAUUUUCACUACAUUCCACUGCAUUCUUUUUAAGAAGAAUCAGAAAAAAAAAAACACCUUUCAAGACUCAAUUAAGGAAUAACUAAUUCUAUGAAUGCACAAACCACGUUCUCUGCACUGCUCAGUGCUAAAUACAGUGCCCACAAUGUGGAUAUUAGUUUUGUUUCUGACUUCAAUUUACUCUACCUACUGCUUCCCCCUAGCCUGCCUACACACCCUAAUCCCCAGAACCUGUGAAUAUGCUAUCCUACAGGGCAAAGGGGACCCUGAAGAUGUGAUUAAGAUUACAGACCUUGAGAUGAGAAGAUUAUCUUGGAUUAUCCAGGUAAACCCAAUCUAAUUACAUGCGUCUUUAAAGGCAGAAAACCUUUACCAGCUUCAAUCAGAGAGACUGGGGUGACCCAAGAAGAGUCAGAAGUCAUACAGAAGGAUCUGAUCCACUGUUGCUUGCUUUGAAAAUGGAAGAAGGGGGCCAUGGGCCAAAUUAUGUGGCUAAGUGGGUGGACUCUGGAAGCUGGGAACAGCCCUCAGAUGACAACAAGCAAGAAAACAGAGAGCUCAACAAGGAACUCUUAUUCUACAACAACCUGAAUGAGCAAGGGCCCUUCAGAAAGGAACCCAGCCCUGCCAAAUGUCAGCCCAGUGAGACACACGUCAGACUUCUGACAUCAACAUGAAUUCAUGCAGAACUUCGGAACUCCAAGAUAAUGAAUUUGUAUCUUUUGAGCUGCUAAGAGCAUGGUGGUUUGUUACAUUAGUUAGCAACAUGAAACUAUACUCUCUCAUCUGCAUUAAAAAAAUAACUGUAAAAAAUUUUAAAGUAAGUGCCCUUAAAUCCUUUUAGAAACAAGGAGAAUUAAACUAGUUGAAGCAUCCAGCCUACAGAGCAGAGGCCACGUAGCAGAUUCAUCAUUUUCUGAAGCACUAACUCGGUGCCGUGCAGAGUCUUGCUUUCAAGAACUUCACUUAGCAUGCAUCCAUCAAUAUUCCUUUUCUUCCUCCCUCUCCUCAGAUUUGACCAGAAACACAGUAACUGUCAGUCACCCCCGAAAAUGGCCACCAUUUUCAAGAGAGAACUGGAGAAACUUAAGAGCUACAUCACAGCUAUGAAAAGUAGAAGAGGUCAGGGGAGGGAAGAAAUAACGUUUGCUCCAAAGAACAUAGCUCAGUUUCAUCACCUGUGAAAUGGUAACCUCAUAAUUACCUGCUGAAGACUAAAAGAUAAAAAGCUUCUGAUAGCGUGUGUGAACUAUAAAACUGUGGAGAAUUCCUUCCUCAUGACAAUCUACUGCACAGACGCAGAGCCGAAAACUAACGUGAUGGAGAAUUCCAUAUAAAUUCACCCUAGAUAUGCCUUAGGGAUUACUUAAACAAAACCCCAGAAAGCGGAAAAUCUGAUAGGAGGAAAGAAAGAACCAAUUUUAGAAAACCAGUCAGGCAAAAACAAGCCCAAAACUGACCAGCAGAAGACUGUCAUACAACAACGCUUUGAAAAAAUACAGAUGGCCAGGACUCACUGCAGAUCUACUGGAACAGCAUCUCCAGCGACAAGACUCAAGUCAUUUGAGUUGAGACACAUCGUAGGAAUUGAAGGGGGCGACUACGAGUGUAUGACAAUGGAGGAGAUCUAGCAUCUUUUUGCCAAGCAUCCUUUACAUACAAGUGAGGAACAACAGCUAGAAUGUGGAGUAUUUUAAGACUUGCAAAUAGACGAGGUGGUUGAAAUCAAAUGGGAAAGUUUCUCAUAAAAAAUGAAAAGUCAGAAAGAGGGACAAGGGCGGUCAGUAUGUGGCUGCAUCUUCUUCUGUGGCAAAGGACACAGCCUCCCAGACUGAGGAUGGGCAGAGAAUAACAAAAUGGAGUAAGUGCAGCUGGGCCAGAGUGAGAAGAAAAAACAGCUGAGCUGGCAAAAUUAGGAGCUGCUCAAAUCAAACACCAAAAUGACUGGUGAUGGCAGGACGAGAGCUGUCGAGAUAACACAAGGGAGGGGGAGCAGUGGGGGAGAUGAAGAAGGAAAUACUUGUUCCGUAGGAGCAGGAGCAGNNNNNNNNNNNNNNNNNNNNNNNNNNNNNNNNNCAUGAAGCACAAGAGCAUUAGAUGGAAGGAGUCAUUACUGGAGAUGAGGAGGAGGUAAGGAAGGGAAAAAGGAACAGGAACAAUAGGGCUGUGGCCUCUAGAGUUAAUAGAAAGUGUCAGGAGCAACAGAAAUAUUCGGGAAACUGGCUGGAGAGAAAGAGAAAAGGAAAGGGUGGUCCACAAUCCUGAAAGACUACAAACAACACACAUAAAGCCAAAACUUAACAUGAAUUCUAGAUGACGGUAAAAGGGUAUGUUGUAGGCAUAGCACACUCAUUAAUGAAACAAUUAAGCACAUCAAAAACCAGGUAAAACUAAACAAUACGGUUUAGGGAUGUGUUAGUGCUAUAACUAUGAAGAAAAGUUAGGGAAGGAUUAAUACAGAAUUCAGGGUAGUGGAAGUCUGGGAGAGAGAGGUACAUGAUGAGGCUCUGUACACUGCUGGUGUGGGUAUCUGUUACUAGACUGUACACACAUAUACUUAUUUUUUACAUGCAUGAUCUAUUUCAUUAAUUUUAAACAAAGCUAAGAGAAUUUUUCUACCACUCAAUUACCCAGUUUGUUUUUCUACUGUUUGUUUUUUGAAAUAGUCUAACAAACUUGGUCAUAUAAUUAUAUAAAAUGAUUAGUGUUUCUGGCCUCAGGCUUUGCAACAAGAAACUCCGUCUCAGGUCUAGUGAAUCAAAAUCUCUCAGGGUUGGGUCACUGCAUCCUUAAAAAAAAAAAAAUCCUCAAGAAAAAAAAAAAAGCAACAAACACCACCACCCUAGAUUACUCACAAGAAUCUAAAGAAACUCGAGUUUCUGAGUCUCCCACAGGAAGCGGUCUUCCUUCUGCUACAGCUCUAAAGCUCUGGAGAAUCAAAAGCCAUUCCUCCCCCAAGUUCUCUAGAAUUUUGCUCCUGUCCUCUCUCUAGUACUUUCAAAUAUUCAACUUCAAGUCUCCCUUACCCUAACACCACACACUCACACACCAGCCAACUUGAUCUUGCAACCAACUCUAAACUUUUCNNNNNNNNNNNNNNNNNNNNNNNNNNNNNNNAAAACAGCCCAGGGCUCUGUUUUUAUUUCCCAAUAUCGCACUCUCUUUUAAAAACCAUCACUGACUGAAUGAGCUGCCAACAUGUACUUCCAACUACCUACUAGAUAUUUCCCCUUUGCCCACCUGGCAAAUCUUUGUGUCUUUCUCAUUUCAGCGCAAACAUCACUUUCCAGGUAAAGCCCUACAGCACCUCCCCCAAGGGCCCAUCCAUUUAUCAAUUAAACAUUUCUGAUCUCUUACUUUUGAGACAAAAUCUAAAGAUUUCCAAACAAACAAAAAGAUUAUUUAAGAUGCAUGUAGUAAAGCUGGCCAGAAAGUACAAACUUCUAGUUAAAGGACAAAAAGUCCUGGGGAUGUAAUACACAGUGUGAUGAGUACAGCUACCAACACUGUAUUGAACAGUGCAAAGUUGUUAAGAGAGAGUGUAUCUUAAAAGGUCUCAUCACAAGAAAAAAUGUUUUUUUUAACUAUGUGUGAUUGAUGUUAACUAAAUUUACUGUGGAAAUCAUUUUGCAAUACAUACACAUAUCAAAACCACCAGGCCAUAUACCUGAAACGAAGACAAAGUUAUAUGUCAAUUACAUCUCAAUUAAAAAAUACAUUCAGAUCAUGUGUGAUCAGGCUGGUCUUGUUUAUUUUCUCGUAUAGCACUUGUCCUCAGAAGAGUUUAAGCAAAAACAAAAAGCAAAAGAAACAAAACUGUGGGGUAGAUAAGGAAGGAAGGAAGNNNNNNNNNNNNNNNNNNNNNNNNNNNNNNNNNNNNNNNNNNNNNNNNNNNNNNNNNNNNNAUGGAAAAAAAAAAAAAAAAAAGAAUCAAUGAAUGGAAUGGCUCAAGUAAGAAAGUUUUAACCUAGGAGUUCCCUAGUGAAUCAGUGGGUUAAGGAUUUGGCAUUGUCACUGCUUCGGCAUAGGUUCAAUCCCUGGCCUGGAAACUUCCACAUGUCCUGGGUAUGGGCAAAAAAAAAAAAAAAA